rnacentral:rRNA from 1 species
GAUGAACGCUGGCGGCGUGCCUAAUACAUGCAAGUCGAGCGAACAGACGAGGAGCUUGCUCCUCUGACGUUAGCGGCGGACGGGUGAGUAACACGUGGAUAACCUACCUAUAAGACUGGGAUAACUUCGGGAAACCGGAGCUAAUACCGGAUAAUAUAUUGAACCGCAUGGUUCAAUAGUGAAAGACGGUUUUGCUGUCACUUAUAGAUGGAUCCGCGCCGCAUUAGCUAGUUGGUAAGGUAACGGCUUACCAAGGCAACGAUGCGUAGCCGACCUGAGAGGGUGAUCGGCCACACUGGAACGGAGACACGGUCAAGACUCCUACGGGAGGCAGCAGUAGGGAAUCUUACGCAAUGGGCGAAAGCCUGACGGAGCAACGCCGCGUGAGUGAUGAAGGUCUUCGGAUCGUAAAACUCUGUUAUUAGGGAAGAACAAAUGUGUAAGUAACUAUGCACGUCUUGACGGUACCUAAUCAGAAAGCCACGGCUAACUACGUG